UGUUGAUGAUGUUGUUGCUGUUGUUGUUGCUGCUGUUGCUGGUGUUGUUGUUUGGCAGCAGCUGCAGCAGCGGCGGCAGCAGCCGCAGCGCUUAUU
rnacentral:pre_miRNA from 1 species